rnacentral:rRNA from 1 species
GUGGUGCAUGGUUGUCGUCAGCUCGUGUCGUGAGAUGUUGGGUUAAGUCCCGCAACGAGCGCAACCCUUGUCUUUAGUUGCCAUCAUUAAGUUGGGCACUCUAGAGAGACUGCCAGGGAUAACCUGGCGGAAGGUGGGGAUGACGUCAAAUCAUCAUGCCCCUUAUGCUUAGGGCUACACACGUGCUACAAUGGGUAGUACAGAGGGUUGC